UGUUGGAGGUGUUUUGCCGGCUUUUUCCGUCUCAGGAAAAGGGUCAGCUCCUCUGAAAUGUAUUAGUGGCAUCUGAGCUGCUACUAUAGGUGUGAUAACUAUCUAUGCCUUUGGUAUGCUGCAUGAACAGAUUGGGCUGCUUUACAAAACAAAUUGACAAACUUGACCUCAAAUCAGGUAGGACUACCCGCUGAACUUAA
rnacentral:misc_RNA from 1 species